rnacentral:rRNA from 1 species
UACGUAGGGGGCAAGCGUUGUCCGGAAUUAUUGGGCGUAAAGCGCGCGCAGGCGGUCAUUUAAGCCUGGUGUUUAAGCCCGGGGCUCAACCCCGGUUCGCAUCGGAAACUGGAUGACUUGAGUGUAGGAGAGGAAAGUGGAAUUCCACGUGUAGCGGUGAAAUGCGUAGAGAUGUGGAGGAACACCAGUGGCGAAGGCGACUUUCUGGCCUAUAACUGACGCUGAGGCGCGAAAGCGUGGGAGCAAACAGGG